GCAAAUGAGCUGCCCUGCAAUGGCUCAACUGCUUCCAACACCCUUUACUACAGGCGUUUCUUCCCUUAUUAUUCGUUUAAUGUUUUGGGGGGCCUUGAUGACGAAGGAAAGGGUUGUGUUUUCACAUAUGAUGCUGUUGGUUCCUAUGAGAGGGUUGGAUAUGGCACCCAGGGUACUGGUUCUACACUUAUCAUGCCUUUUUUGGAUAACCAACUGAAGUCUCCCAGCCCUCUCUUGUUGCCUGCCCAGGAUGCCGUUACUCAACUUUCUGAAUCUGAAGCAGUUGAUUUAGUCAGAACUGUUUAUGCCUCAGCAACUGAGAGGGAUAUAUACACUGUUUGCUCUGGAUUCCUGGGAUCUGGGCCUUCAGAUGUUGCCUUCCCUUGAUAGCCUCAUCUUCUCUAGAACUUUGGCUUGGGAGCUUAUUGCAGUCAUACUAACAAUUUUGGUCUUAGAUUCCUAGAAGGGAGUCGCUUUAAAUUGUCAUCCUCAAUGCUGACAGUAUCCGUAGGGAAUACAUGGAUCUUAGGACAGAUUGAUGGUAAUGGAAAAACCAUGAAACUUGAUCUAGUGGAGUACUGACAUGUAACCUUGUGGUUUUACUAAGAAUAUGUAGAGUUUUUUUCUUGUAUGUAGACUAGGUGAUACUUUUGAUUACGAAAUCAACUGUACCUGAAGACUCUGAUGCCUUUGGCCAAAAUAUCUCAAUGGACAAAGAAUGUAUACUUUCACUUUUAUA
rnacentral:sRNA from 10 species